CAGGAAGUAGUUUAUAAAAAAUAUUAAUUUUGGAGAUUAAUGAAAAGAUUUUAUCUUUUUCCUGA
rnacentral:tRNA from 1 species